CAGUUGCCUAUUGAAAAAAAGCACCUUUGGGAACAGCUGAACUUCCUUUUCCGGAUCACUCAUGGGAGGAGAGUGGUGUGCAGAGCGGCUUUUGUGCUCUUCCCAUGAUCGAAGCAGCAGCUGGAAGAUGAACAGGAUGGCAAUAAGAGCACUCGGGACAACUGUAAAUAACAAUCAGUGUUGAAAAGGGAAGAAAAUCAAGUCAAAAAUCAAAAUAUUUUCCAUUUCCUGCAGAAAACCUUACAAAUCUGUUCCUCCUCCAGCAGCUGUUUGACAAAAGAGAGAAAAUCAAGAAAGAAUAAGCAGAUUGUGCAGAACUCAAGGAUAAAUUAAAUGAGAGGUGAAGGGAGAUUGUUUAUAAUUCAGCAAAAGAGGGAAUAAAUAUCUGGAAGUCUGUUGGGAGGAAAAGAUCAAUAGUAAAGCCACGUAGAACAGACAGGCCUCUCCCUGUGAGGAAGAAGACGGCUUGAAUGAAAGCACCCUUAAACAAGGUAUUGUCCAUAUUUUUCACCUCCUCAAGAAUAUCAGCUG